AGAGUUUGAUCAUGGCUCGAGGAUGAACGCUGGCGGCGUGCCUAAUACAUGCAAGUUGUGCGGUAACAGAGAGAGCUUGCUCUCUGCUGACGAGCGGCGGACGGCAGAGUAACGCGUAGGAACAUACCCCAAACUGAGGGAUAACUGCUCGAAAGAGUAGCUAAUACCGCAUGUGGUCUUCGGAUUAAAGCUUCGGCGGUUUGGGAGUGGCCUGCGUCCGAUUAGCUAGUUGGUGAGGUAAUUGCUCACCAAGGCGACGAUCGGUAGCUGGUCUGAGAGGAUGAUCAGCCUGACUGGAACUGAGAACGGUCCAGACUCCUACGGGAGGCAGCAGUAGGGAAUUUUCCACAAUGGGCGAAAGCCUGAUGGAGCAACGCCGCGUGCAGGAUGAAUGCCUUCGGGUUGUAAACUGCUUUUCUGUGUGAAGAAUAUGACGGUAACACAGGAAUAAGGGUCGGCUAACUACGUG
rnacentral:rRNA from 1 species